AGAAGGCCCCAAGUUAAAUGUGAAUUUCAGAUAGACCACAAAUAUGUUUUAGUACAAACAUAUCCCUUGCAAUAUUUGGGACAUACUUAUACUAAAAACGUAUUUGUGGUUCGUCUGAAUUCAAUCUUAACUGGGCAUCUUGUAGUUU
rnacentral:miRNA from 1 species